rnacentral:rRNA from 1 species
AAGUAGAGCGGCGACCGGUGAAAAGUACACGUAAGACAACUUACCUCUAAGUCGGGAUAACCUGCUAACGCAGGGCUAAUACCGGAUGUGGUUCUUGGACCGCAUGGUUUGAGAAUUAAAGGUGACCUCUUGAUCAAAGUUAUUGCUUAGAGAUGGGCUUGCGGCCCAUUAGCUAGUUGGCAGGGUAACAGCCUACCAAGGCAGUGAUGGGUAGCCGACCUGAGAGGGUGAACGGCCACAUUGGGACUGAGAUACGGCCCAGACUCCUACGGGAGGCAGCAGUAGGGAAUUUUUGCGCAAUGGACGAAAGUCUGACGCAGCAACUCCGCGUGAAGGAUGAAGGUCUUCGGGAAUUGUAAACUUCUGUUGAGUGGGAAGAAAGGUUUGUGCGCUAAUAUCGCACAGAUAUGACGGUACUACUCGAGCAAGCUCCGGCUAACUACGUGCCAGCAGCUGC